rnacentral:sRNA from 1 species
UUGGAAUUAUUUACAUUUUGAGUGGACUCUCUAGCUAAUCAAAAAGACGAAUUUGGAGUCCUAGAGUUAAAAUCACAAUGUCUAAAUGGCACUCAGGGAUAAAUUACAUCUCACUGUUUCCCAAAAUGACCAGGUAAAAUUCAGAAGGACAUGGAACUUUGGAAAUUUUACCAGGGCUCUGGAAAUUCUGACACUUGAUGUCCACCAUUGGCCAGCUAGUAUCUAAAAUAGGCAAUUUAACUGGAAAACAGAUCCUUAAGAACCACUAGUUCCAUUUACUAAAACAGCACUGGGUUUGAAGUCAAAUCUUGCUCUCACUCUGACAGUAACUUGCUGUAUGUCCUUAGACGAGUCUAGUCUCCUCUCUGGGCUCAUAGAUAAAAUAAAGAGGACAUUCUAGAUUGCCUACUUCAGGUUUCUUUCCAGCUGUGACAUUGUAUGAUUCAUCUAUGAUUCUUCAACUCUGGCGUAGGCUGUUAUACCUAAGAUUAGGAUUUCCUUAAGAAUGAAAAGAUUGACAAAUUUUGGUCCAAAGCCUCUGAUAUGGCCAUGAAAAGAUGCCCUGACUCUCAGCUGACUCACGCUGGACUCCAUCAGUGCUGAAAACUCCCCAAGACUGAGCUGGACUGGAAAGCUCCCCAAAGACCACCUCUGAGGAGCAGGCAUCUUUAGUCAUGUCCAGUACUGGGAAUUAUGGCUCAAACAUCUGGCCAUCAACAAUUACAGAAAAUGAACAGGGGAAGACUGAAAGCUGAUCCGCCUCCAACCCUGCCUCCUGGCUUCUACGGCCAAGCAAGCUUCCUGUAGAGAGGCAGCAGGGUGGGGCUGUGUACUCAUACAGGAGCUGGGUUUUUUUAUUUUUUGUGCCAAACUCCAAUGUGAGCACAUUAGCUGCUCUUACUCAGCCUAGGAUUGGGACUAGAAGAACAAAAGAUUAUUUGGUUUAUGUCAGCUAGAAUUUUCUCACUAAGCCAAGGGUUUCGUCCUUGGGCAGAAGAGGCAGAGAGGAUUGCACAAUAAAACUAGAAGUAAAAGAAAGAGGCCCUGGUGGGUAAGAGACUGGAGUCUGCUUAAACCUCAGUAGACCUUUCCCUACCCAAAAUUGACACUGGGCAGGUGAAUUGACCACACAGUAGUACCAUAAUGAAUGGGAGAGACCUUAAAAGCAGGACCACGGGUAGCUUCACAGGCUGUACACUGAACACCCGAGGGGCGCCCUUCAGAGGCAUUGUAACAUUGCUUUCUGGAAUUGUGUGCAGUGCACAACCUGUACAUCUGCAUGAGACAGAUCCAUCAGAUAGCCAAAGGAGGAUGAGCAAAAGGCAGUUGAGGGGUCUCACUUCUUCUCUCUCAGUUGUAGACUGUAGAGCCCCAGGAGAGCUGGAACACGGGCUGGUCACCUUCUCCACAAGGAACAACCUCACCACAUACAAGUCUGAGAUCAAAUACUCCUGUCAGGAGCCCUAUUACAAGAUGCUCAACAAUAUCACAGGUAAGCCCUCCAUGCUAAGCCAUCCCACUCCCGUUUCACACUCUCGGGGCCUCAGGGUUGGACUGGGGGCCGAGACAGCUCUGAAAGGAAGAACUGCUCAUAAGUGUGUAGAGCCUGAUAAUGCAAAACGUGUCACUCACACAUCUCCUGAGGUUCUCACUUUCCAUGAGCUUGUGUUACUGUGCCCAUGUGGAGAUGCAGAAACAGUCUCAAAACCAAAAAGCAGCCUUUUUUGUUUUUAACUUUAAAUCUAGCACUGAUUUACUAAUGAGUUGUUGGUGGGAGUGUGAAGGAGUCACACAUUGACACAACUAAGGGAAGAAACGAGACCCUAAAGGAAGCCUAGAAUCCCCCAAGUUAAACUCCUUCAUGUGGUCUGAGGCUGAGUUGGGGUUUCCAAAAAAUGGCCAGUAUUACUGCUUCACCCAGUCUCUGCCUUGGCUGCUGGGUGAGGGCAACAUCUCACCAGGCCAGACCCAUUCUGCAGGUAAGGGACCUUCCUUCAAAGACCUGUUCCCCUGGUACGGACAGGGGUCCAGGCAGGGUUGGGGAGUGAGGAGCAGAUCCUCUGUCUCCCCAGGUAGCCCAGCAUAUCCCCUGACCACAGCUCAAGCACAGCCAUAGCAGUCCCUGUCCAGGCCUCACCCAUGCCACCUGGCAGAGACCCCUGGCUGCCCCAGGGGCUGGGCAGCAGCACACUGGCCAGAGGGUGAAGGACCAGCAAUAACCUGCCCAUUGGCCACACUGGGGGUUUGGGAGGAACUGGAAAGAGAAGUGCUUAGAGACAUAACCCGCCUCUCCCUGCCUUGUGGCAGCCAAACACCCCCUCACAUGCACUCAUAGUCCCUAGCAGAAAAGGAACUCUCAGGGAGAAAGGAGGGCCCAUCGGCUCUGCCUCUCUGGCAUGCAAGCACUGAGAACAUUCUCCUGACUCAUCUAAGCCUCCAACUCCUCUUUGUUUUUGUUUUUGAGACAGGGUCUCACUCUGUCACCCAGGCUGGAGUGCAGUGGCGUGAUCUCGGCUCACUGCAACCUCCACCUCCUGGGUUCAAGCAAUUCUCUUGCCUCAGCCUCCCAAGCAGCUGUGAUUACAGAAGCUUGCCACCAUGCCCAGCUAAUUUUUGUAUUUUUAGUAGAGACUGGCUUUUGCCAUGUUGGUCAGGCUGGUCUCAAACUCCUGACUUCAAGUGAUCUGCCCGCCUCAGCCUCCCAAAGUGCUGGGAUUACAAGCGUGAGCCACUGCAUCUGGCCCCAAGUCCUCAUUUUUAAAAGAGGGAAGAGUUACGAAGCUCUUAGAGCUAUUUCAAAAUGCCAGUGAGACGGUGGCCACAAAUGUAUGCUUAUUAAAGAGUCUGUCAAAUGGAGAAGAAAGGAAAGGGCAUCUGUGCAACAGGGAGCCAUGUGAGCCCAGGUCUUUGGGACAAGUGAGGCGGAGGUGACUUCCAGGACCUGGGCAGCGUGGGGUGGGGAGGGGAGCGGUCCUCAGCCAGGCAGGAGUAGGAUUCCCCAGAGCUUUGGACAGACACCAUGCUGAAGAGUGUGGUGUUUAUUUUUCCGGGUGACAGCAGCCAUUGGUGAUUCUGAGCUGAGAAAGGACAUGGUCAGAUUCCCAUUUUAGAAAGAUCCUUCAUGUUGCAAAGGGAGUUUGAUAGAGGGACUAGGAUGGUAGCCCUGUGGGUAUUUGAAGAUAUUUGGAGGUUAAUUGGUCCCUUUGGAGGAUUGUAUCCCAGAGAGUACCUGCCACAUUCUUCCUCAUUCUUCUUAGUACAUCUAGGCUCAGAGACAAUAGUAUCUGAGCCUAGAUGACCAUUUGGAGGACUUUGUAAUAACUCACUUUAGAGAAAUUAAAUACCCAGAUCUAUUUUCCAUGUGUUACAAAUCAACCAUUUUCUCCCUCUUCUAACCUCUUUCACUAAUCCAGGUAUAUAUACUUGUUCUGCCCAAGGAGUCUGGAUGAAUAAAGUAUUGGGGAGAAGCCUACCCACCUGCCUUCCAGAGUGUGGUCAGCCCUCCCGCUCCCUGCCAAGCAUGGUCAAGAGGAUCAUUGGGGGCCGAAAUGCUGAGCCGGGCCUCUUCCCAUGGCAGGCCCUGAUAGUGGUGGAGGACACUUCGAGAGUGCCAAAUGACAAGUGGUUUGGGAGUGGGGCCCUGCUCUCUGAGUCCUGGAUCCUCACAGCAGCUCAUGUGCUGCGCUCCCAGCGUAGAGACACCACAGUGAUACCAGUCUCCAAGGAGCACGUCACCGUCUACCUGGGCUUGCAUGAUGUGCGAGACAAAUCGGGGGCGGUCAACAGCUCAGCUGCCCGAGUGGUUCUCCACCCAGACUUCAACAUCCAAAACUACAACCACGAUAUAGCUCUGGUGCAGCUGCAGGAGCCCGUGCCCCUGGGACCCCACGUUAUGCCUGUCUGCCUGCCAAGGCUUGAGCCUGAAGGCCCGGCCCCCCACAUGCUGGGCCUGGUGGCCGGCUGGGGCAUCUCCAAUCCCAAUGUGACAGUGGAUGAGAUCAUCAGCAGCGGCACACGGACCUUGUCAGAUGUCCUGCAGUAUGUCAAGUUACCCGUGGUGCCUCACGCUGAGUGCAAAACUAGCUACGAGUCCCGCUCAGGCAAUUACAGCGUCACGGAGAACAUGUUCUGUGCUGGCUACUAUGAGGGCGGCAAAGACACGUGCCUUGGAGAUAGCGGUGGGGCCUUUGUCAUCUUUGAUGACUUGAGCCAGCGCUGGGUGGUGCAAGGCCUGGUGUCCUGGGGGGGACCUGAAGAAUGUGGCAGCAAGCAGGUCUAUGGAGUCUACACAAAGGUCUCCAAUUAUGUGGACUGGGUGUGGGAGCAGAUGGGCUCACCACAAAGUGUGGUAGAGCCCCAGGUGGAACGGUGAGCUGACUUACUUCCUCGGGGCCUGCCUCCCCUGAGUGAAGCUACACUGCACUUCCAACAGCACACUCCACAUUACUUAUCAGACCAAAUGGAAUGGAACACACUGACCUAGCGGUGGCUUCUCCUACCGAGACAGCCCCCAGGACCCUGAGAGGCAGCAGUGUGGUAUAGAGAAAAGGCUCUAGGCAGGAGACCUGCGUUCCUGAGCUUGUCCAAGUCUCUUUCCCUGUCUGGGCCUCACUCUACCCAGUAAUACAAUGCAGGAGCUCAACCAAGGCCUCUGUGCCAAUCCCAGCACUCCUUUCCAGGCCAUGCUUCUUACCCCAGUGGCCUUUAUUCACUCCUGACCACUUAUCAAACCCAUCGGUCCUACUGUUGGUAUAACUGAGCUUGGACCUGACUAUUAGAAAAUGGUUUCUAACAUUGAACUGAAUGCUGCAUCUGUAUAUUUUCCUGCUCUGCCUUCUGGGACUAGCCUUGGCCUAGUCCUUCCUCUAGGAGAAGAGCAUUCAGGUUUUGGGAUAUGGCUCAUAGCCAAGCCCCUCUCUCUUAGUGUAAUCCCUUGGAGCACCUUCAUGCCUGAGGUUUCUCUCCCAAAAGCUUCUUGCAGUAUAAGCCUUAUCCCUUAUGUUCCCCAUUAAAGGAAUUUCAAAGGACAUGGAGAAAGUUGGGAAGGUUUGUGCUGACUGGUGGGAGCAGAAUAGCCAUGGGAGGCCCACCAAGCCCUUAAAUUCCCAUUGUCAACUCAGAACACAUUUGGGCCCAUAUGCCAUCCUAGAACACCAGCUGACACCAUGGGUGUCCACACCUGCUGCUCCAGACAAGCACAAAGCAAUCUUUCAGCCUUGAAAUGUAUCAUCUGAAAGGCUACCUGAACCCCAGACCCAAAUAUGGGGGCUUAGUCGAUUACCUGGAAAAAGAAAAGACCCACACAAAGUCCUGCUGUGCUUUUGGGCAGGAAAAUGGAAGAAAGAGUGGGAUGGGCACAUUGGAAGUCACCCAAAUCCUGCCAGGCUGCCUGGCAUCCCUGGGGCAUGAGCUGGGCGGAGAAUCCACCCCGCAGGAUGUUCAGAGGGACCCACUCCUUCAUUUUCCAGAGUCAAGGGAAUCAGAGGCUCACCCAUGGCAGGCAGUGAAAAGAGCCAAGAGUCCUGCGUUCUAGUCCCUGCUCUGCCCCCAACUGGCUGUAUAACCUUUGAAAAAUCAUUUUCCUUUUCUGAGUCUCUGGUUCUUCAUCAGCAACAGGAGGGCAUAAGGUCCCCUGCAGCUUCCUUCUAGCUGGAGCACUCAGAGCUUCCCUGACUGCUAGCAGCCUCUCUAGCCCUCACAGGGCUGAUUGUUCUCCUUCUCCCUGGAGCUCUCUCGCCUGGAAAUCUCCAUCACAGCAAGGUAGCCAGAGAAGCCCCUGAGAGGGAAUGAUUGGGAAGUAUCCACUUCUCCAACCGGCUCAUCAAAGCACACUCCUAUGUCUAUGAAUGGCACAUGUAAAGGAUGUUCUAUUUUGUAUCUUUUAUAUCAUAUGCUUCACCACUCUGUAAAGGGCCUCUGCAUUGUUGCUCCCGUCAGGGGUCUAAAGUGGAAAUAAACCCUCGUGGAUAACCAACA